GCCGGGUACAGUGGCAGGCAUCUGUAAUCCCAGAUACUUGGUAGGCUGAACCUAGAGGAUUGUUUGAGUUCAGGAGUUUUGGGCUGCAGUGCGCUAUGCCGAUCAGGUGUCCGCACUAAGUUCGGCAUCAAUAUUGUGACCUCCCGGGAGCGGGGGAACACCAAGUUGCCUAAGGAGGGGUGAACCAGCCCAGGUCGGAAAAAACAAGAUCCUUCUAUCUGCUGCCUUCAGGAGCCACACCUUGCCCAUAAAAACAAACACAUUUUGAAAGUAAAAGGCAGGAAUAAAAUCU
rnacentral:sRNA from 1 species